rnacentral:rRNA from 1 species
CCUCGGGGGGGCUGCAGUGGGGAAUAUUGGACAAUGGGCGAAAGCCUGAUCCAGCCAUGCCGCGUGUGUGAAGAAGGCCUUCGGGUUGUAAAGCACUUUCAGUGGGGAAGAAAGCCUUGGGGCUAAUACCCUCGAGGAAGGACAUCACCCACAGAAGAAGCACCGGCUAACUCCGUGCCAGCAGCCGCGGUAAUACGGAGGGUGCGAGCGUUAAUCGGAAUUACUGGGCGUAAAGCGCGCGUAGGCGGUCUGAUAAGCCGGUUGUGAAAGCCCCGGGCUCAACCUGGGAACGGCAUCCGGAACUGUCAGGCUAGAGUGCAGGAGAGGAAGGUAGAAUUCCCGGUGUAGCGGUGAAAUGCGUAGAGAUCGGGAGGAAUACCAGUGGCGAAGGCGGCCUUCUGGACUGACACUGACGCUGAGGUGCGAAAGCGUGGGUAGCAAACAGGAUUAGAUACCCGUGUAGUC